rnacentral:lncRNA from 1 species
ACCGCAAAACCCAAAGACCCACUUAGGUGUCCCCUCUCUCCGCAGAAGAGAGAGCUUUUCCCUUUCUCUCUGUUAAACCUCUUCUCUUAAACUCACUUCUUGCGUGUCCUCGUCCUCGAUUUCCUUGGCGUAAGACGACGAACCUCAGGCAUUUACCCCAGACAACGAAGGUGCUUCAUAAGGUCAUGCAGCUGGGUCAACAUAGGACUGUGUAGCCAAGAGCUACAGGAUGGAUUGCUGAGGCCAGGGAGAUUGAAAGGAAGUCACAGCCCAAUCUCAGAGGGAUCCACGGAGCCAGCGAAAGCUAAGGCGGGACUUACCCAACAGAGGGUCCUGGCCCAGUCACCCAGUGGCACAACCCAACUGGGAGAUCUGAGCAUCUACCAACUGUGGCCACCAGUGAGAUGGUGUCAUUGUCUGGGAGGCCAGCAGAAGUCUCAGUGAUCGGGCAGGACAAAGGACAUUUCUGCAGAGAAUACUGAAGGUCCAGGAGACAGCACAGUGGGACAUAUGUGGGCCCCUGCCCCAUCAUUAGGAGGAAGUGUAGGCUUUUCUGAGGACCUGGAUGCCAUACCAUCUUGAGACAGAGAAUGAGGAACCAACCCUUGACAAGAGAGAGAUGGCCCUGGUAGAGAAUUUGAACCUUGAAUUGGAUUGAAUAUUUAUCCAAAAGAAAUUGAACCAGCACUAGAGAGACUGUUUUGAACUAGAAGUAACCAAGUUACCUUAACUGGAAGUUAGGAUUUUUCCACCCCUGACAUCAGUGGGACAAGGGCACAUGAGCAAGAUAUUUACGGACAAAGAAGAACGUUCAUGUUUUGUACACCUGCUUUGUAGUAUGUUGCAGAUACCGUUGGUUCCCCUGAUUUCAGGUGUUCUCGUUCUUUCUGUACAGUCACUUGCUCAGGGCAAAUGGUCCUCUCCUGCAUGACUCAGAAGCACAUACUGAUUAUUCUAAACUGGUCUUCAUGCCCCGUUCCCUUGUCAGUGAUGUAGUUAGGCAAAGGAUUAUGUAACAAUUCUGGCUAUGAGACAUUGAAACUUCUACUGUGGGGCAUCUGGGAAGAUUUUUCUCAUUGAAAAGAAGAGACGCAGGGUGUGGAGACUCAUGCCUGUAAUCCGAGCCCUUGGGAGGCCCAGGAGGGAGGGUCACCUGAGUCCAAGAGCUCAAGGCCAGUUCGAGCAACAUACCAAGGCUGCAAUAAACAAGCAAACAAACAAACAAACAUUAGCUGGGCACGGUAGUGCACACCUGUAGUCCCAGCUACUCAGGAGGCUGAAAUGGGAGGAUUGCUUGAGCCCAGGAGUUUGAGGCUGCAGUGAGCUAUGAUUGCACCACUGCACUUCAGCCUGGGCAACAGAGCGAGAUCCUGUCUCUAUAAAAAAAUUUUAAAAAAAGGAAGAAAAGAAAAGAAGAGACACACGUGGAAGAAACAGUCUCUAUUCUGAUGCAAGUAAUGACUGGAACUGUGGCAGACAGCUUGGAACCAUGAGAGGAGUUAACUGAGGGCUAUCAGGGAAACUAGAAGAAGCCUGGGUCCUUGAGGAGGCAGACUACUAAAUGGACCAUCGUCCCUUCACCCUUUUUGUUAUGUGAGAUAAUAAACUCUCUAAUUUAAAUCUACUUGAGAUGAAUAUCUGAUACUUGUAGCCAAAAUCAUCCUUAAUGGGACAGAGUGUGGGUAAAUUAUCAACCUUGCUAGCCUUGCCUCAUAAUUUUUGAAUUUAUUUUUAUCUUUUAAUUUUGUUUAUUUUUUAUUUUUAAAGUAGAGACAGGAUCUCAUUAUGUUGCUCAGGCUGGUCUCGAAUCCCUGGCCUCAAGGGAUCCUCCUGCCUCAGCCUCCUAAAGUGCUGAGAUUACAGGUAUGAGCCCCUAUGCCAGGCCAUUGCUUUGCCAUUGUAUCCAUGUGAUUGCAAAAAAGAAAAUCGUGCUAAUAGUCAUUAGCUUUGAAAGACACUUGGAAUUUCUUCCUUCAAGCGAGCUUUAUUCCCAAACUGUUGAACCCUCUGGGUUUGACAGCAGGAUCUACUUCACAUGGUAGCAUCUCCUUCUAUUUGCCUUCAAGACAUUUCCUAAGGGAAGAGAUGAAGACACACUUGUAACGUGAACAAAAUAAUCCUUUUUCCUUUUAAAAAUGUAUGAUUAAAAUGUAAAAUAUAUAUAUAUAUUCUUAAAUGUAAAAUAUAUAUAUAUAUCUUCUAGAGUUGCCUGGAAAGUGAGCUGAGAGCAGUUAAACAUCAAACCCACUGCUGCUUUCCAGCUUUAACCAGAAUCACCAUUGUCUUUCCCUAUGAAAGAAAGGAAAUCUUAGAACUUAAAAGGAUUUCAAGAAGAACUGAAUUUUAACCACUGAGAUGACCAGAGAUGUAAGGCUCACACUGACUGAAGCAGUAUAAUUUGGCUGUCUUUUUAACAUUCAGAAUUCUCUCUGACUCUCCAAAAUUGCAUCUACUUUGAUGAGCUUAUUUUUUUCCUCAACCAAAUUACAUUUCUUGGAGUUCACCUGAUACAUCAUGCCUACUUACUUUUUUUUUUAGAUGGAGUCUUGCUCUGUCACCCAGGCUGGAGUGCAGUGGUGCAAUCUCGGCUCAUUGCAACCUCUGCCUCCCAGGUUCAAGUGAUUCUCCUGCCUCAGCCCCCCAAGUAGCUGGGAUUACAGGUGCGUGCCACCACGCCCAGCUAAUUUUUGUAUUUUUAGUAGAGACAGGGUUUCGCCAUGUUGGUCAGGCUGGUCUCGAACUCCUGACCUCAAGUGACCCACCUGCCUUGGCCUCCCAAAGCGCUGGGAUUACAGGGGUAAGCCACCAUGUCCAGCCCUGCCUACUUACUUUGAACAAAUUAUUUCAGGCUAAUUUACUAGCUGGAGAGAAAGAGGGAGGGAAGCAGGGAGGAAGCAAAGAUAGAGGGAGAGAAAGAGAGGGAGACAGAGAGGAAGAGGGAGAGGGAGAGGAGAGAGAGAGAAAGAAUGAAUUGUGUUCUCCCAAAAUUAGUAUGUUGAAGUCUUAAUAUCCCAGUACCUCAGACUAUGACUGUAUCUGUAGAUAGGGCUUUUGAAAAGGUGAUUAUGUUUAAAUGAGGCCAUUGGGGUGGGCCCUAAUCCAGUCCAACUGUUGUCAUUGUAAGAAGAAGAGAUUAGGACACAGAGAUACCAGGCAUGUGCGUGCCCAGACAGACAACUAUGUGAAGAGACAACAAUAGGUCAGCCAUCUGCAAGCUGAGGAGAGAGGCCUCAGAGGAAACCAACCCUGCCGGCACCUUGAUCUUGGAGUUCCAGCCUCCAGAACUGUGAGAAAAUGUAUUCCUGUUGUUGAAGCCAUUUCUGUUGUUCUGUGGCAUUUUGUUAUGGCAGCCCUAGCAAACUAAUAUGAUAAUUAACUCUUCCAAGUGCUGUUUCCAUUACAAAGUAUCCCAGAAUUUUAUAUUGGUGAAUCUGUGUUCCUCAGGCCAUGUCUUCCCUGUUGGAAAUGCUGUUAUUAUGUCCCAAGGUGACUUCAAGGAGUGGGUUAGAGGCUGAGACAGAGGGUGUGAGAUCGUCACUACUGUAACCUUGCUUUGUUCAGUAUGAACAUGCUCAGAUAUUCUCUGUUUUGUAUUGGGAGAUCGGGAAAGGAUUUAUUGAAAAAAUGUUUCCAUUAGCAAAUGAAGUUUGAAGGCAACUACCGUCUACAAGAGCAAACAAAUGCAUAAAAUUCAAAUAUUAUUUUGUCCCAACCUCAGUGUCAUGAGGGUCUCUUAUACAGAAUAGUAGAUGAGAAUAAAAUUUGAAUUGAUAAUACUGGAAUAGAGUAGUCAUUAUGCAAUGUAACAAACCUCAAAUAUUCAGUGGUUUAACACUAUAGAUGUUUAUUUACCACUCAUUCAAUGUAUGUGUUCCUUGUUAGCAGUAGUUUUCCUUGUAGUCAUUCAGGAAUCCAGGCAUAUUAGUUAUCUAUUUCUGUGUACCCCAUAAAAACCAUUUAUUAUUGCACACUUUCAGAGGGUCAGUAAUUUGGGAGUGGCUUAGCUGGGGUGUUCUGACCAGAGUCUCUCUUGAGGUUGUAGUCAAGAUGUUGGCUAGGGUUGCCAUCAUCUGAAAGCUUGACUGGGACUGUAUCCACUUUCAAGAUGGCGCACUUACUUGGCUGUUGGCAGGAAGCCUCAAUGACUUAUCAUGUGGUCUUCUCCACAGUGCUGCUUGAGCAUCCACACAACAUGGCGCUAGCUUCCCCCAGAGGCCGCCUGAAAGCUUGUACAAGUGCCUGAGGAAAGCCGGAUUUGGCAGGCUGCAACCACGGUGGAUGACAGCUGAAGGAGAAUUACAGCAGCAGCAGUUAAGUAGAAGAUGUUCACACUUCCUCGCUCUGCAUCUUUCUUCCUGGAGCCCAACACCUCGGAGGAGAAUGGGAAACCCAGAAGAAGGAGUGGGAAGUAGGGUUGCCACAUAAAAUAUAGGACUCUCAGUUACAUUUGAAUUUCAGAUAAGCAGCAGAUUAUUUCUUAGUAUAAGUAUGUGCCAGUAUGUGUGUAUGUGCACACAUAUGUGCACAUGUAUGCAUGCAUCAGCUAGAUUCUGCAACCAUCAGAGAAAUAGACAAAGGUCCUUUUGACCAGUGGUCAAACUGAGCUAUGAGGAGAAGAUCUUGAAAUUGCAUGUGAUAUUGAAGCUUUAAACUUACUGAGUUGCUUGUGUUAGGCUUUUAAAUACCGUAAUGGGACUAAAAACUAUGUUUCUAAGAGAGAGGAAUAUUUGGGAGUACAGCUGACCCUUGAACAAUGCAAGGCUUAGAGGCAUUGUCAAAAAUCCACAUGUAACUUUUGAC